AUUGCAAGGUGGGUUGAGGUCAUGAGAAGAGCAAGUUUUGAGGCCAUAUGAGCCCUUGGAUUUGAAUUGUGACUCAGCCCUUUAUGAGACGAACUGCUUUCUGACUCAACAGGGUAACCCCGUCUGCCUAAGUCUCAGUGUCCACCUCACUAGAAUAAUAAUAUCUAUCUCACAGUGUAGUUACCAGUGUAGUUCACCAAUUAUCAGUGAAGGCAUGGUAAUUUGGAGUGCUCGACACAAAUCAGGAAUUCUCUUUUAAGCAUCUCUAAAUUUAGCUUUUUCUUUGCAAAGUAGGUAUAAUAAUAUUUAUUCAAUAUUUAUGCCAUGAGUAGUUACUUCACAUAUACUUGGUAUCAGGUACUCUUCUAGACAGGGGAAGCAGUGGUGAACAAAACAGAUGAAGAUUUCAGCCCUCAUGGAGGUUAAAUUCUUAUGGAGGAAACUAACAGCAGACAAGGGUUUGGGGCAUCAUCUUUCUGCCAGGCCCUGUGUCGUGUGCUUCACUACAAUAAGACAUGGUUCCAGGCUCAAGAAGCUGAUGCUCUGGGUUGUAUUUUUCAGAGAUUAUUUAAAUUCUCUUUGACUUGGCAAGGCAUAAUAAAAAGGUAGCAAUAACA